UCUCUCGUACACGUACUCACCUCAGUGCUUCUUCCAGAACCAUCGUUUUCCAUUCUUCGCAUCUCUCACUCUCUUCUCAAUUCUCAUCUUCUUCACAGGAAAGAAAAUGAGCAGCCGGUCAAGCCGAACAAUUUAUGUUGGCAACCUCCCUGGCGAUAUUCGCUUGAGAGAAGUAGAGGAUAUUUUCUACAAGUUUGGUCCUAUUGUUGACAUUGAUUUGAAGAUUCCUCCAAGACCACCAGGUUAUGCUUUUGUUCAGUUUGAGGAUGCUCGUGAUGCUGAAGAUGCAAUCUACUAUCGAGAUGGUUACGAUUUUGAUGGUUUUCGGUUACGAGUUGAACUUGCACAUGGGGGACGGGGUUCUUCAUCAUCAGUAGACCGUUACAGUAGUUAUAGUGGUGGCAGCAGUAGCCGUGGAGCUUCCAGGCGUUCUGACUAUCGUGUUCUGGUGACUGGAUUACCUCCUUCCGCCUCAUGGCAAGACCUGAAAGAUCACAUGCGUAAAGCUGGUGAUGUGUGUUUCUCUCAAGUUUUCCGUGAGCGUGGAGGCAUGACUGGGAUAGUAGACUACACCAAUUAUGAUGAUAUGAGAUAUGCCUUAAGGAAACUUGAUGACUCAGAAUUUCGAAAUGCCUUCUCUCGAGCGUACAUACGGGUGAGGGAAUAUGAUCGGGAUUAUUCUAGAAGCCCCAGUCGUGACUCUAGGAGAAGCUAUUCUCGAAGCAUCAGCCGCAGUCCAUAUUUAUCACGAAGUCGAAGCCGAAGUCGUAGCUAUAGUGGCAGGAGUAUAAGUUUGUCUCCAAAUGCAAAACACUCUCGACGUUCGUUAUCUCUUUCAAGAUGUGGCCUUUUGCGGGGAUCUGGGAACUGCAUGUUAGGAUCUUGAUGGCAUGUGGUGCUCAAACGCCCGCGACUUUGUGGUCUAAGGUAAUAAUUGUUUUGUUGAUGAGCACCUGUGGAACACAUUAAUGCUAUGACUAAUGAUAAUGGUAAUGAUGUAUUGAUGAAAGGCAUGGUCUGCGAUUGUUGUACACUGGAUGACAGUUGAUGGAUGUGUUGCAAUCUAAAAGCUGGAUCACCAUGAACUAAAUGCUAUUGAUUGAUUCCAACAAAUGCAAAUCAGCAGUAUUACAGUUCAAAAACUACGACAUAACCUGUGCUCUAAGUUCUGGGUCAAUCUCAUCCUUGUUUUUAGGAUUUGUCUUAUUGUUCUAUAUAUGGUUGUAUCUUCACGAUACUUGGUUCAAAGGUCCCAGUCAAGAUCCAGAUCUCCAAAUUCAUCUCCUCGACUUCGUCAGAGUCGCAGUCCAAGCAAAAGUCCAAGGAGUCCGUAACAAUCUCAUUUGGCUUAAGUGGAAUUUGUACGCAGCUGAACUAAUAAAUCUGGAGACAACUACUGAACAUGCAUUUCCUGUGCUGCAUUUUAAUGGCGACUUGAAAAUUAGCAUAUUCAAGACCUGAUAUAGCUCUGUAGCUCUAUCUAGAUUUAUAUUUGAAUUCAAAAUUGGAUUGAAGAAGCCGUGAAACAAACCUAUUUGUGCAUUUAAAUUUGAAGUGGAUGGUUCGAAAGAACUGAAGUUACCUAUAUUAUGAACUGCAUGGCGGCUGUGUUGCAUUCUAACAUGCCCUGGGAUUUUAGUACUCUAACGGUGAUAUUGGAGUGGCUAGUUAUUAUGUUUUAAUAAAUGCCAAAACUUUUCUA